UACGAAGGGGGCUAGCGUUGCUCGGAAUCACUGGGCGUAAAGCGCACGUAGGCGGAUUUAUAAGUCAGGGGUGAAAUCCUGGAGCUCAACUCCAGAACUGCCUUUGAUACUGGGAAUCUCGAGUCCGGGAGAGGUGAGUGGAACUGCGAGUGUAGAGGUGAAAUUCGUAGAUAUUCGCAAGAACACCAGUGGCGAAGGCGGCUCACUGGCCCGGUACUGACGCUGAGGUGCGAAAGCGUGGGGAGCAAACAGG
rnacentral:rRNA from 1 species